UACGGGGGGGGCAAGCGUUGUUCGGAAUUACUGGGCGUAAAGGGUCUGUAGGUGGCUUGCUAAGUCAGACGUGAAAUCCCUCAGCUUAACUGGGGAACUGCGUCUGAUACUGGCAAGCUUGAGUGCAGGAGAGGAACGCGGAAUUCCAGGUGUAGCGGUGAAAUGCGCAGAUAUCAGGAGGAACACCGGUGGCGAAGGCGGGUCUCUGGGCCGAUACUGACGCUGAGGAGCGAAAGCGUGGGGAGCGAACAGG
rnacentral:rRNA from 1 species